AUUGAACGCUGGCGGCAGGCCUAACACAUGCAAUUCGAACGAGUGGCGGACGGGUGAGUAAUGUCUGGGAAACUGCCUGAUGGCGGGGGAUAACUACUGGAAACGGUAGCUAAUACCGCAUACCAUCAGAUGUGCCCAGAUGGGAUUAGCUUGUUGGUGGGGUAACGGCUCACCAAGGCGACGAUCCCUAGCUGGUCUGAGAGGAUGACCAGCCACACUGGAACUGAGACACGGGCCAGACUCCUACGGGAGGCAGCAGUGGGGAACAUUGCACAAUGGGCGCAAGCCUGAUGCAGCCAUGCCGCGUGUAUGAAGAAGGCCUUCGGGUUGUAAAGUACUUUCAGCGGGGAGGAGUUACGCGCAGAAGACGCAGAGGCUAACUACGUGCCAGCAGCCGCGGUAAUAC
rnacentral:rRNA from 1 species